GAUGUGCAGGGCGGGCAGAGCUCAGGUGUGCGGGGCCCCAUGGCGGCUGCGCGGGGCGGAGCCGAGGUGAUUUAGACCCCGGAAAUCGCCUCGAUCGCCAUUUGCUCACUCAGAGCACGGUGCGGACAGGAGCCCUCUGUGCGGGCUCCGCAGCUGGUGUCCUGGUCCCCUUCCUACGACAAAUGGUUGACCCCGAACGCUGACCCCCUCGAAUGAAAAAGGGGGAGAGAGCAUGCCACGGUCGAGGAAGUUGGAGCUGGGUCCUGAGCAGCCAGGACUGUGCCGGAAUUUUGAAGCACCCUUGGGGUUCACAUCGGUGACUCAAGCCAUUCACGUGCUGCCGGAGCCUGGAAAGCUGCAAGAGCGCUCACGAAAGAGGUAUGAAAAGGCAAGCAGCAUAUAAUUCAUUCGCCGCGUAUUUAGAAAGGCGAGGACUAAAGGGGAUAGAUUUAAAAAAGGAGCUACUAGGGUUGUUACCCUACGGCUAUGCUAAAGAAGUUUUCCUUAACCCUCAUAUGGUCUAUGAACUCUCGGAAUGGACAAAAUUUGGGAAUAUACUGUGGGAAGCGGUGUUAGAAGAUGAUAAGUCAGCAAAGAAACCGAGCAAGCCAUGGCGGGUGAUGGUCUCUGAGCGCAAGGCAGCAGCCGCGGCUCGGGGCGCCUGCGGGGCUGUGCCCCUCCGAACUCGGCGUGGGCGCUGCGCCAUGGGGAGCAGCCGCGGCGAGCGGCCGCCUGGAAUAUUACGCUGCAGCAGCGGGAGCAGCGGGAGCGGCGACAGCGGCGGGGCGAGCGGAGCCGCCGCGGGGGGAGCGCUUCUCCCUCCGCCCCGCAGCCGGCAAAAGCUACAGUUUAAGACCUAACAGCCGUAAUAAUUGUGACUCUUGUCAACAAAAGAUCCCUACUGCAAUUGAGAGACCAGUGAUAAUAAACAAGCGACACCAAGGACCAUUACUAUCAAGAGACGUUUCUCACCUAAGUUAGAAAGAUCUUUUGUCCUUCCUAGCAGAGACUGUAAAAGAGAAAUCAGCAUAGUGUGAAUGCGUAGGUCAAAUUUCGGCCGAUUCGGCUUAGCAUCCGUUAUGUUGUUUUAAAAUCACCUGUAUUAACAGAGACUUUAAACAUCAGAAGUAUAGACUUUAAUCAGUGAAACAUCAAACUCUGAAAUUAUAUUUUGAAAAAUUUAAAAAUGUUAAAAAUAUGUUAAAAAGAUUGUAUAAGUAAGAUGUAGUGAGUAUGCUUUUUGUAUUCUUUGAGCCUUGCUUGGAUGUGAUAGAGGUAAAAGCAAGCACUGAAUUCAAAAGAAUUUUUCCACAGGUAUACCUUGAACAAACUUCUUAUGUUUAAAUGCAUUUAAGUAUAAAAAUGCUGCAACAAACACGUGAAGAAAGUUGUUUUAGCUUAGUAUUUUAAAAUCAGGCCUAUAAGUAAGUUAUAGUAAAUGCUAUACUUAUAAUUCUAUACUAUUCUAUAGUAAGUUUUAUUUGUUGUUAAGUAGUUUAGGUUAAAUUAUCUAUUAAGUGCCAUUAAAUGUUAAAUACUGUUAAGGUUUUAAAUUUUGUUAAGUUUAAGUAAAGCUAGAUUCUGUUUAAAUUAUGUUAAGUUUAAGUUAUAUAAAAUUUAAAAUCAGCUGAUUUUUGUUAAAAUUAAGUUUAAGUGAUGUUAAGUUCUGUUAAGUUUAAAUAUUUUAAGUAUUUUAAGUAUAAAUGCUAUUAAAUUUAAAUGAUGUUAAAUAGAUUUAUACUUUUUAUGAUAAGCGUUUAUUUUAUGACUUGUGUGCAAAGUGCUGUUGUGAACAUCAAAGAAACUUUAGUUAAAAGAAACAAUCAGAAGUAUUUGUGAGUAAAGCCGUUUCUGUUGAAAGUAUAUCUGCUGUUUGAGAAUAAAAAGCAAACUAUUUGAAAAUAGAAAGCAAACGACGCAGAUAAAACCUGCGCACAUGUUAUUCCUUUAGCUUAUUUUUGUAGGUUGUAUUAGCACACCUGAGUUUUGUUUGAGCCUUAUAGCACAUAAAAUUCUUUAUGUAUCUGUUGUAUAGCAUAUCCUAUAAAUAGUAAUAGCCUUUUUGGUUUGUUUCCCUGGCUUAGAUCCCUUGUAAGAGAGAAACCUUGCUAGCUGAGAAUAUUGUUUAGUUAUUAGAAUUGCCUAUUUUUGUGUUGCAAAAAGUGUGACACAGUUAGCCCAUAGAACUUUGCUUUUUUUAAAAAAAAUAAAAACAGGGGAAGUGUUGGGAAAUUUAGGUGACUAGAGAAUGGAAAAGUACAAAGCCGUGGCUAAUUCCAAGUUCUGCACCUGCUAGAUAGUGUGUCCUUGGGCCUAGCUGUAGUUCAAUAACAAAUAGUGAAAAGAGACAUGAGAAAAGAGAGAUGUAACCCCUAAGGAAUGAAAAAGAGUUCAUGGUAUAGUUUAACCAAUAGAUUGCUUGGCUUACAGAAGCUUAUUAUUUGCAAUAUAAGUGUUUAAUGCUUUCUUCAAUAAACUGGACCUGUGAUGAA